rnacentral:rRNA from 1 species
CAGUCGCCGCGGUAAUACGUAGGUGGCAAGCGUUGUCCGGAAUUAUUGGGCGUAAAGGGCUCGCAGGCGGUUUCUUAAGUCUGAUGUGAAAGCCCCCGGCUCAACCGGGGAGGGUCAUUGGAAACUGGGAAACUUGAGUGCAGAAGAGGAGAGUGGAAUUCCACGUGUAGCGGUGAAAUGCGUAGAGAUGUGGAGGAACACCAGUGGCGAAGGCGACUCUCUGGUCUGUAACUGACGCUGAGGAGCGAAAGCGUGGGGAGCGAACAGGAUUAGAUACCCCGGUAGUCCCUGUCUCUUAUAA